AACUGGAGGACCGAACCCACCGUCGUUGAAAAGCCGGGGGAUGACUUGUGGAUAGGGGUGAAAGGCUAAUCAAACUCGGUGAUAGCUGGUUCUCCCCGAAAGCUAUUUAGGUAGCGCCUCGGACGAAUACCAUUGGGGGUAGAGCACUGUUUCGGCUAGGGGGUCAUCCCGACUUACCAAACCGAUGCAAACUCCGAAUACCAAUGAGUACUAUCCGGGAGACAGACUGCGGGUGCUAACGUCCGUAGUCAAGAGGAAAACAAUCCAGACCGCCAGCUAAGGCCCCAAAAUCAUAGUUAAGUGGGAAACGAUGUGGGAAGGCAUAGACAGCUAGGAGGUUGGCUUAGAAGCAGCCACCCUUUAAAGAAAGCGUAAUAGCUCACUAGUCGAGUCGGCCUGCGCGGAAGAUGUAACGGGGCUAAAACUAUGUGCCGAAGCUGCGGAUGCACAUUUAUGUGCGUGGUAGGGGAGCGUUCUGUAAGCCGAUGAAGGUGGAUUGAGAAGUCUGCUGGAGGUAUCAGAAGUGCGAAUGCUGACGUGAGUAACGACAAAACGGGUGAAAAACCCGUUCGCCGAAAGACCAAGGGUUCCAGUCCAACGUUAAUCGGGGCUGGGUGAGUCGACCCCUAAGGCGAGGCCGAAAGGCGUAGUCGAUGGGAAAUUGGUUAAUAUUCCAAUACUUCUGUGUAAUGCGAUGAGAGGACGGAGAAGGUUAGGUCAGCCUGGCGUUGGUUGUCCAGGUGGAAGACAGUAGGCAUGCAUCUUAGGCAAAUCCGGGGUGCUCUAUGCUGAGAGUCGAUAGCAAGCCAGUUUACUGGCGAAGUGGCCGAUACCAUACUUCCAAGAAAAGUCUCUAAGCUUCAGUUACACAGGAAUCGUACCCGAAACCGACACAGGUGGUCAGGUCGAGUAGACCAAGGCGCUUGAGAGAACUCUGCUGAAGGAACUAGGCAAAAUGGUACCGUAACUUCGGGAGAAGGUACGCUGCUGAUGGUGAUAGGACUUGCUCCUUGAGCUGUCGGCAGCCGCAGAAACCAGGCCGCUGCAACUGUUUAUUAAAAACAUAGCACUCUGCAAACACGAAAGUGGACGUAUAGGGUGUGAUGCCUGCCCGGUGCUGGAAGGUUAAUUGAUGGGGUUAGCGUAAGCGAAGCUCUUGAUCGAAGCCCCAGUAAACGGCGGCCGUAACUAUAACGGUCCUAAGGUAGCGAAAUUCCUUGUCGGGUAAGUUCCGACCUGCACGAAUGGCAUAAUGAUGGCGGCGCUGUCUCCAGCAGAGGCUCAGUGAAAUCGAAAUCGCUGUGAAGAUGCAGUGUACCCGCGGCUAGACGGAAAGACCCCGUGAACCUUUACUGCAGCUUGACACUGAACUUUGACCUUACUUGUGUAGGAUAGGUGGGAGGCUUUGAAGUAGGGACGCCAGUUCCUAUGGAGCCAUCCUUGAAAUACCACCCUGGUAAUGUUGAGGUUCUAACUCUGACCCAUAAUCUGGGUCGAGGACCGUGUCUGGUGGGUAGUUUGACUGGGGCGGUCUCCUCCUAAAGAGUAACGGAGGAGUACGAAGGUGCGCUCAGCGUGGUCGGAAAUCACGCGUAGAGUAUAAAGGCAAAAGCGCGCUUAACUGCGAGACCCACAAGUCGAGCAGGUACGAAAGUAGGUCUUAGUGAUCCGGUGGUUCUGUAUGGAAGGGCCAUCGCUCAACGGAUAAAAGGUACUCUGGGGAUAACAGGCUGAUACCGCCCAAGAGUUCAUAUCGACGGCGGUGUUUGGCACCUCGAUGUCGGCUCAUCUCAUCCUGGGGCUGAAGCAGGUCCCAAGGGUAUGGCUGUUCGCCAUUUAAAGAGGUACGCGAGCUGGGUUUAGAACGUCGUGAGACAGUUCGGUCCCUAUCUACCGUGGGCGCUGGAAAUUUGAGAGGAUCUGCUCCUAGUACGAGAGGACCAGAGUGGACGAACCUCUGGUGUACCGGUUGUGACGCCAGUCGCAUCGCCGGGUAGCUAUGUUCGGAAGGGAUAACCGCUGAAAGCAUCUAAGCGGGAAGCCUACCUCAAGAUAAGAUUUCCCCGUGACUUUAUGUCACCUAAAGAGCCGUUCAAGACCAGGACGUUGAUAGGUUGGAUGUGGAAGCAUAGUGAUAUGUGAAGCUG
rnacentral:rRNA from 1 species